rnacentral:rRNA from 1 species
UACGUAGGGGGCAAGCGUUGUCCGGAAUAAUUGGGCGUAAAGGGUGCGUAGGUGGCGUCGUAAGUCAGGUGUGAAAUCUCGGGGCUUAACUCCGAAACUGCAUUUGAUACUGCGGUGCUUGAGGACUGGAGAGGAGACUGGAAUUUACGGUGUAGCAGUGAAAUGCGUAGAGAUCGUAAGGAAGACCAGUGGCGAAGGCGGGUCUCUGGACAGUUCCUGACACUGAGGCACGAAGGCCAGGGGAGCAAACGGG